CUUGCUUUUGAUGGGCGUCGACCGGCGCACGGGUGAGUAACGCGUAUCCAACCUGCCCGUCACUUGGGGAUAACCUUGCGAAAGUAAGCUAAUCCCAAUGAUAUCUCUAGACGACAUCUGAAAGGGNUUAAAGAUUUAUCGGUGAUGGAUGGGGAUGCGUCUGAUUAGCUUGUUGCGGGGUAACGGCCACCAAGGCAACGAUCAGUAGGGGGUUCUGAGAGGAAGGUCCCCCACAUUGGAACUGAGACACGGUCCAAACUCCUACGGGAGGCAGCAGUGAGGAAUAUUGGUCAAUGGAGGCAACUCUGAACCAGCCAAGUAGCGUGCAGGAUGACGGCCCUAUGGGUUGUAAACUGCUUUUAUGCGGGGAUAAAUUGACUCACGUGUGGGUCAUUGCAGGUACCGCAUGAAUAAGGACCGGCUAAUUCCGUG
rnacentral:rRNA from 1 species